GGUCUGGUGGUCUAGCGGUAUGAUUCUCGCUUAGGGUACACUCUAAACAUUGUCUGCGAGAGGUCCCGGGUUCAAUCCCCGGCCAGACCC